rnacentral:rRNA from 1 species
UACGAGGGGGGCGAGCGUUGUUCGGAAUUAUUGGGCGUAAAGGGUGCGUAGGCGGUUCCGCAAGUCCUGUGUGAAAUCUUCGGGCUCAACUCGAAGUCUGCACGGGAAACUGCGGGGCUUGAGUUUGGGAGAGGGAUGCGGAAUUCCAGGUGUAGCGGUGAAAUGCGUAGAUAUCUGGAGGAACACCGGUGGCGAAGGCGGCAUCCUGGACCAACACUGACACUGAGGAGCGAAAGCCAGGGGAGCAAACGGG